rnacentral:rRNA from 1 species
AGUGAACGCUGGCGGUAGGCCUAACACAUGCAAGUCGAACGGCAGCACAGUAAGAGCUUGCUCUUACGGGUGGCGAGUGGCGGACGGGUGAGGAAUACAUCGGAAUCUACUUUUUCGUGGGGGAUAACGUAGGGUAACUUACGCUAAUACCGCAUACGACCUACGGGUGAAAGCAGGGGAUCUUCGGACCUUGCGCGAUUGAAUGAGCCGAUGUCGGAUUAGCUAGUUGGCGGGGUAAAGGCCCACCAAGGCGACGAUCCGUAGCUGGUCUGAGAGGAUGAUCAGACACACUGGAACUGAGACACGGUCCAGACUCCUACGGGAGGCAGCAGUGGGGAAUAUUGGACAAUGGGCGCAAGCCUGAUCCAGCCAUACCGCGUGGGUGAAGAAGGCCUUCGGGUUGUAAAGCCCUUUUGUUGGGAAAGAAAAGCAGCAGGUUAAUACCCCGCUGUUCUGACGGUACCCAAAGAAUAAGCACCGGCUAACUUCGUG